GUGUUAGUAUGUCUGUGUCAGUAUGUCUGUUUGUGUAUGUAUGUCAGUAUGUCUGUGUGUCUAUGACAGACAUACUGACAUACACACACACACAGACAUACUGACACAUACACA
rnacentral:miRNA from 1 species